rnacentral:lncRNA from 1 species
GUAAAUGUUCCCUCCUUGGGCACUGGAUGAAUUCUGCUCUGUGUUGCUUUUUACUGUGACAGUGCAACACUGAGUUCCAAUACAAAGUCCCACAGUCAUUUUCCUUUUCAUUCCCCAAGUAUUCAGAUUCUCUCUUCAUGCCAUGUGGUGGCUGCCAGAGAGAGAAGAGGUGUCAGCAAUUCAAGACUGUGUUUCCUUACUCUCUUCAGUGCCUCCUUCCUUGAUAUGAUGUUAAAACCAGGUUCCAUUAAGUCGUUUGAUAACUGCAGUAUUCAAUACUUCCUUGUCUUUGGUAUGUUUUCAUCAGAGAGAGGAAUGGAGUCUUGCCAUGGUGCCCCAGCUGGCUUUGAACUUCUGGGCUCAAACAAUCCUCCUGCCUCAGCCUCCCAGAAUUAUCAAUAUUGAAAGCCAGUUACUGAUGAUAACAUAGAGAUCCACUGGAAUCCUAGAGAAGCUGCACCCUGAAUGGAUAUAAA